ACUGCAGUAUAUAUAAAUGAGAGAAAACAGAUAAUAAACCAGCAGUUAAUAAGAGUCAGUUUGGCGAUUGUAUCCGUAGAUUGCAACUUUGUUCUGAAAUUCUAAAUCAAGUAGGAAAAAAUUUCAAAAUGAAAACUAAAGUAUUAGUACUGUGCCUAUUUCUUAUUUGUUCUCUUUUCCAUGAAAAUUCAGCAGUCAACAGUGGCUGUAAUGAACCGAUCACUGUCGGCCCGUGUAGAGCAUCCAUACCGAGAUGGGCAUUCGAUGGGUCAAAAUGUAUAAAAUUCACUUAUGGUGGGUGCCAAGGUAAUGGAAAUAAUUUUAUGACGAAGGAAGAAUGCGAAAAUGCUUGCAGUGGUAAUUAACAGUAGUUCAUCCUAUUUGUUGUAUACGUUCCUACCAUUCUUAUUGCUAAGUGAUCUAUAUUUGUUAUAUAAUGGAAAAUACAAAUGAUAUAAAUAUGUAACUAAAAAUAUGUAUAAAUCUUUGAAAUAAAUUUUGAGAAACAAUUUAAAGGU